ensembl:lncRNA
GGCCUUGCCGCCACCCUCAGGGAUUCCUUCCCUGUGAAAUGUCUUGGUACUGCCAUAUUCCUUCUGCUUUCCGAUAUGUCUGGAAAGUCCCUGGCAAGGUGGGAUCUCUCCAUCCCUUUUGGGCCUGUGUUUUAUGCCACGUGUGUCCAAGUACAGGUGUCCAGGAAGUACCAUCCAUUUGCUCGUCCUGCAUUCUGCUGAUAAUUCAUGGUUACAGACCAGCUAAAAGUGUCUCAUUUGCAGUUAGCUGAUGGAUUUUCUGCGGAGGUCCACAGGGAUGUGUGACUGGAAGGCAGGAGGAGCUGGCGAAGGGCACCAGAGCUGUGUGGAAUAGAGGGCAGGUGAACACUGCUGCUCGCAGGAAGGGUCCUGCUGCCAGAUUAUGAGCAGUGGCGCAUGAAUGAGGAGCUCUCAGGUUCUGGAGUGAUCGUGUAGACAGGAAUUUUCCUUGCUAGAUCUUUGUUCUGUUUCCCUGCAGUGUCUUCCUGAGUUGAACUGGAAGCUUUGGAUGUCUGCAGCCUACAGAAACGAGCUCUGAAGGAUUUUGUAUGUGGAGUACAAGAAAGAAAACGUCCCAGAACACAUUGGUAGAAAGCUGAGUAUUCCGGAAGAGGUUUACAGUACAGUUCAGCUUUUACACACACAUGUAGCCAGCAGUAUGAGAAGUUUGGCCAUUCUUCAGCAUCGGUGUUGUCCUUAGCCACUAAACACAGAUGAAGCUCUGCAGUAGGCCGUUCUGUUCCUGAAUUAAGUUUCUACUUGAGAAAUUGAAUUCUGGCUGAGGGAAGAGUUAUUUCUUGUAGGAGCACAAACUCCGAGAUCAUAGACAACGUAAUACUGACUGGAGAACAGGCAGUCCAGAAGGCCAAAGUAAACAUCUUAAAUCAGCAUUAAGGUAAAUCCAUUGGGGGAAAAAAAGAAAAGAAAAAAGGUCUAUCUUUAUAUGCUCGCCAAUGUAAGUGAAACCUAAAGAUGGCAUGAGACAGUGGAAGGCAUCUUAGGAAGAGAGUGGCUUGUAG